UCUUAGCAACAAAAAUAGUUAUUGUUCAAAAAACAUAAAAUUUGUUCUGCUCUUCUGAAUUGGAGUGGAGCGGCAAAGUAAGAAGGAUGGAAAAAAGAGAGCAAGGAAAAGCCAAAAACUGGACACAUUUUGUUCGUCGUCUUGGAGAUGAAGCGGAGUUUUUUGUUGGCAGCGAUUUAGACCCGCCAAAACUGCCAGCCCAGCCAGGGAGCCAKGAUAGUUACAGAAUGACCAGUGGAUAUGAAUGUGACGUUAUGCGACGUUAACAAGCCUUGGCCUGGCGAGAUGUCAGAAACAACCAGAGAAGGUACCAUAAAUGUGUCCAUCCAAGUUAGACUGACUGUCGCAAUCACCGGGCUCAGGCGACAUGAUGGAGAAAUGAGGGACAGUUUUCAGCAGGGAAUAAAUUGACUAAUAAAAACAA